rnacentral:rRNA from 1 species
CCUACGGGUGGCAGCAGUGAGGAAUAUUGGUCAAUGGACGAGAGUCUGAACCAGCCAAGUAGCGUGAAGGAUGACUGCCCUAUGGGUUGUAAACUUCUUUUAUAUGGGAAUAAAACAGGGUAUGCAUACCCUCUUGUAUGUACCUUAUGAAUAAGGAUCGGCUAACUCCGUGCCAGCAGCCGCGGUAAUACGGAGGAUCCGAGCGUUAUCCGGAUUUAUUGGGUUUAAAGGGUGCGUAGGCGGCCUUUUAAGUCAGCUGUGAAAGUCCGCGGCUCAACCGUGGAAUUGCAGUUGAAACUGGAGGCCUUGAGUGCACACAGGGAUGCCGGAAUUCAUGGUGUAGCGGUGAAAUGCUUAGAUAUCAUGAAGAACUCCGAUCGCGAAGGCAAGUGUCCGGGGUGCAACUGACGCUGAGGCUCGAAAGUGCGGGUAUCAAACAGGAUUAGAUACCCUUGUAGUC